ensembl:miRNA Mir6335 microRNA 6335
AUCUGCAUACACAGUGAUAUUCUGCAUGGAUAGUGUAGGCAUGUUUAACAAGAACACUGAUCCUAAUUAACUGAGUGUAGAAUGAGUUACAUGAGAAC